UACGUGGAGGUGCAAGCGUUGUCCGGAAUUAUUGGGCGUAAAGAGCUCGUAGGCGGUCUGUCGCGUCGGCUGUGAAAACCCGGGGCUCAACCCCGGGCCUGCAGUCGAUACGGGCAGACUAGAGUGUGGUAGGGGAGACUGGAAUUCCUGGUGUAGCGGUGAAAUGCGCAGAUAUCAGGAGGAACACCGGUGGCGAAGGCGGGUCUCUGGGCCAUAACUGACGCUGAGGAGCGAAAGCGUGGGGAGCGAACAGG
rnacentral:rRNA from 1 species